AUUAGUUAUACAUUAUCUAAAAAAAAAAAUUGAAGUUUUACAUCAGGCUAAUAAUUAUGGACUGCUCGAAUUUUGAUCGUCACACAUACAUGUAAUAAACUAUACUGAGACCUUAGAAGUUAUAUCUCAAGGAAGGAAGACUUACUGGUGGCUCUGAGCCCUUUACAGUUUCACCAAGAUAGGCGAGCGAGCACGGGGUCGGCCAGGAGGGAUGUAAUUUGAUAACAGUUACCUGAGCGCCUCCGGAAAUGACCUAACAGCUCGAAGGCUGGAGGGAGGAGGUUAAUAAAGUUAAGUAGCCAUCUAUACGAUGGGCCUUAAGCUUAAUUACCAAUCAUAAGCAAUAAAAAAUUUGUUUCCGAAUUA